AUUAGAUAAAAAACCAAUGCCCUCUGGGCUCCUUGGUGAUUCAUAAUAACUUAACGAAUCGCAUUGCCUUGCGCCGGCGAUGGUUCAUUCAAAUUUCUGCCCCAUCAACUUUCGAUUGUAGGAUAGAGGCCUACAAUGGUCUUAACGGGUAACGGGGAAUUAGGGUUCUAUUCCGGAGAGGGAGCCUGAGAAACGGCUACCACAUCCAAGGAAGGCAGCAGGCGCGCAAAUUACCCAAUGCUAAUUCAGCGAGGUAGUGACAAUAAAUACUGAUACGGGGCUCUUUCGGGUCUCGUAAUUGGAAUGAGUACAAUCUAAAUCCCUUAACGAGGAACAAUUGGAGGGCAAGUCUGGUGCCAGCAGCCGCGGUAAUUCCAGCUCCAAUAGCGUAUAUUAAAGUUGUUGCCGUUAAAAAGCUCGUAUUGAACCUUGGACCUGGCUGAUCUGUCCUCCUAAUCGAGCGCACGGAUUCGGUCGGGUCUUUCCUUCUGGGGAGCCCCAUGCCCUUCAUUGGG
rnacentral:rRNA from 1 species